rnacentral:rRNA from 1 species
GACGAAGGCUGGCGGCGUGCUUAACACAUGCAAGUCGAACGGAAAGGCCCUGCUUUUGUGGGGUGCUCGAGUGGCGAACGGGUGAGUAACACGUGAGUAACCUGCCCUUGACUUUGGGAUAACUUCAGGAAACUGGGGCUAAUACCGGAUAGGAGCUCCUGCUGCAUGGGGGGGGUUGGAAAGUUUCGGCGGUUGGGGAUGGACUCGCGGCUUAUCAGCUUGUUGGUGGGGUAGUGGCUUACCAAGGCUUUGACGGGUAGCCGGCCUGAGAGGGUGACCGGCCACAUUGGGACUGAGAUACGGCCCAGACUCCUACUGGAGGCAGCAGUGGGGAAUAUUGCACAAUGGGCGGAAGCCUGAUGCAGCAACGCCGCGUGCGGGAUGACGGCCUUCGGGUUGUAAACCGCUUUCGCCUGUGACGAAGCGUGAGUGACGGUAAUGGGUAAAGAAGCACCGGCUAACUACGUG